AACGAACGCUGGCGGCAUGCCUAACACAUGCAAGUCGAACGAACCCUUCGGGGUUAGUGGCGCACGGGUGCGUAACGCGUGGGAAUCUGCCCUUUGCUUCGGAAUAACAGUUAGAAAUGACUGCUAAUACCGGAUGAUGUCUUCGGACCAAAGAUUUAUCGGCAAAGGAUGAGCCCGCGUAGGAUUAGGUAGUUGGUGGGGUAAAGGCCUACCAAGCCGACGAUCCUUAGCUGGUCUGAGAGGAUGAUCAGCCACACUGGGACUGAGACACGGCCCAGACUCCUACGGGAGGCAGCAGUGGGGAAUAUUGGACAAUGGACGCAAGUCUGAUCCAGCAAUGCCGCGUGAGUGAUGAAGGCCUUAGGGUUGUAAAGCUCUUUUACCAGGGAUGAUAAUGACAGUACCUGGAGAAUAAGCUCCGGCUAACUCCGUGCCAGCCGCCGCCGUAAAAC
rnacentral:rRNA from 1 species